AUGGAUUAUCUAACUUAUAAAAAAUAUUAAAUACCCGAAAGUAAAUGAGCUACUUUUAUAGUUCAAUUUAGAAUUAAAUAUUUAAAAGAAAUGUUGCAAAAUUUCUAAAAGAAACUAAAGUAGAGAUUAAAUGUCUACGCAUUUACAGAUACCUGGUUAUCUUUUAAGGUAAAAUUACCAGCUUUAUAUAAGUUAAUUAAUUUUGGGACAAGCUAAAAUUAAAACAAAGAUUUAAAUUUUUAUUAAAAAUUAUAAUUUCUAACUAUUGUUUUAGGCCUAGUAAUAGCUUAAGAAAAAACUGUAAUAAGAAAAAUAAUUAAGAAAAAAAAUUUUGAUAAAAUUAAUCUAAUAUAAAAGAUAAUAGUAACUAACAUAAUUAAAAUUAUUACUAGCUAAAAUGGUUAAUAUUAGUAUGAAUCUAAAAAUGUUAAUAAUAACUAAUAAAAAUAAUAACUAAAAAGGAACUCGGCAAAAAAGGCAACGACUGUUUAACAAAGACAUAGCUUCUAGAAAUUAUUUGAAGUUAUUCCUGCCCAGUGUUAAUAUGAACGGCCGCGAAAGUGCUAAGGUAGCAAAAUAAUUUGUCUUUUUAUUGAAGACCAGUAUGAAAGGAGUAACGAAGCCUAACUGUCUCCUUAGUUAAAUCAAAAAUUAAUUAAAGAGUGAAAAAUCUCUUAAUAUUAUGGAGGACGAGAAGACCCUAAAGAGUUUAAGUAAAAUCUAAUUACUAUACUAUAGAUAAUACUUUUUUUGGGGCAAUAGGAGAACAAAAAAAAUCUCCAUAUUAAUAUAACCUCAAAGAGAAAUAAAUUAAACUACCUUAGGGAUAACAGCGUAAUUUUACCAGAGAGGACUAAUCGAAGGUAAAGUUUGCGACCUCGAUGUUGGACUAAGAUAUCAACUAUAUGUAGAAGUAUAGAAUUGUAAGCCUGUUCGGCUUUUAAUAAUCUUACAUGAUCUGAGUUCAGGUCGGCGUAAGCUAGUCCGGUUUCUAUCCUCAUAAUAAUAAUUUCUUAUCUUUAUAUUACGAAAGGAACUAAAGAU
rnacentral:rRNA from 1 species